GACGAACGCUGGCGGCGUGCUUAACACGUGCAAGUCGAACGGAAAGGCCCUGCUUUUGUGGGGUGCUCGAGUGGCGAACGGGUGAGUAACACGUGAGUAACCUGCCCUUGACUUUGGGAUAACUUCAGGAAACUGGGGCUAAUACCGGAUAGGAGCUCCUGCUGCAUGGGGGGGGUUGGAAAGUUUCGGCGGUUGGGGAUGGACUCGCGGCUUAUCAGCUUGUUGGUGGGGUAGUGGCUUACCAAGGCUUUGACGGGUAGCCGGCCUGAGAGGGUGACCGGCCACAUUGGGACUGAGAUACGGCCCAGACUCCUACGGGAGGCAGCAGUGGGGAAUAUUGCACAAUGGGCGGAAGCCUGAUGCAGCAACGCCGCGUGCGGGAUGACGGCCUUCGGGUUGUAAACCGCUUUCGCCUGUGACGAAGCAUGAGUGACGGUAAUGGGUAAAGAAGCACCGGCUAACUACGUG
rnacentral:rRNA from 1 species